AAUAUUCCUGUACUCGGUGUUACUGCGAAGGGGGGACGGAGAAGGCUAUGUUGGCCGGGCGACGGUUGUCCCGGUUUAAGCAUGUAGGCGGAUGUUCCAGGUAAAUCCGGAACGUCACUAACGCUGAGGUGUGAUGACGAGGCACUACGGUGCUGAAGUGACAAAUGCCCUGCUUCCAGGAAAAGCCUCUAAGCAUCAGGUAACAUCAAAUCGUACCCCAAACCGACACAGGUGGUCAGGUAGAGAAUACCAAGGCGCUUGAGAGAACUCGGGUGAAGGAACUAGGCAAAAUGGUGCCGUAACUUCGGGAGAAGGCACGCUGAUGGUAAGUGAAGCGACUUGCUCGUGGAGCUGAAAUCAGUCGAAGAUACCAGCUGGCUGCAACUGUUUAUUAAAAACACAGCACUGUGCAAACACGAAAGUGGACGUAUACGGUGUGACGCCUGCCCGGUGCCGGAAGGUUAAUUGAUGGGGUUAUCCUCGCGGAGAAGCUCUUGAUCGAAGCCCCGGUAAACGGCGGCCGUAACUAUAACGGUCCUAAGGUAGCGAAAUUCCUUGUCGGGUAAGUUCCGACCUGCACGAAUGGCGUAAUGAUGGCCAGGCUGUCUCCACCCGAGACUCAGUGAAAUUGAACUCGCUGUGAAGAUGCAGUGUACCCGCGGCAAGACGGAAAGACCCCGUGAACCUUUACUAUAGCUUGACACUGAACACUGGUCCUUGAUGUGUAGGAUAGGUGGGAGGCUUUGAAGUGUGGACGCCAGUCUGCAUGGAGCCAUCCUUGAAAUACCACCCUUUAAUGGCUGGUGUUCUAACGUGGGCCCGUAAUCCGGGUUGCGGACAGUGUCUGGUGGGUAGUUUGACUGGGGCGGUCUCCUCCUAAAGAGUAACGGAGGAGCACGAAGGUCAGCUAAUCCUGGUCGGACAUCAGGAGGUUAGUGC
rnacentral:rRNA from 1 species